rnacentral:lncRNA from 1 species
UGAAAAUAUUAACCUCAUCAUCUCAAACCUUGCUACUUUUUUCUUUUUUGCUACAGAAAUUCCAUCUUUCUCUGUGGAUCUAUAUCUAUCUAUCUAUCUAUCUAUCUAUCUAUCUAUCUAUCUAUCUAUCUAUAUUCUUUUAGGUCUGAGGAAUCACUGCAGUCUGGGUGCAUGAAGAUGGCCUCUACCCAGACUGAAGGCAGAGCAAGAUGCACAGCCCUGACCCAGCAACAUGUACAGCCCAACCAAAGGCUCACACUUCCAAAGCUCAGGUGACAGACGAAGCAGCCCAUCCAUGCACUUCCAGCCGGAGGGGCAAGGAAGAGGAUUCAGAAGGGCAGAAGGCUGGGGCGAUGCACCUUUGUGUCCCUGACACUGGCCAGCAAGGGGUGAAGUCUCCCUUUGACCACAGGUGGGUACAUCAGCCCUUGAUCAGCAGCAGCUGUGCCGUGGGUGCCACUGAAGGUGUGAGUGUGCUGGCCAAAGGCGUUCUGCAGCCUCCACUGCACCUUUGUGGGGAGAGCUCUGCCAAGGCUGCGUCCAGCUGGGAGGGCAGGAGAGACAACAGCAUGGAAGUGGCAAUCAGGACAUUACUUCUGCAAGGUGCUCAGACAUUUAUCUGGACUCAAGCAUUUAACAAUGUGCAAAGAGUGGACCCAUUACUGACGUGCCCCUGAGAGUUGGGUCUGCCUUUCCAAUCCUGUUUCUUCUUGGGUGAAAGUGGGAG